GUACACUCCUGCGGGAGGCAGCAGUGGGGAAUUUUGGACAAUGGGCGAAAGCCUGAUCCAGCAAUGCCGCGUGAGUGAAGAAGGCCUUCGGGUUGUAAAGCUCUUUUGUCAGGGAAGAAACGGUGAAAGCUAAUAUCUUUUGCUAAUGACGGUACCUGAAGAAUAAGCACCGGCUAACUACGUGCCAGCAGCCGCGGUAAUACGUAGGGUGCAAGCGUUAAUCGGAAUUACUGGGCGUAAAGCGUGCGCAGGCGGUUUUGUAAGUCUGAUGUAAAAUCCCCGGGCUCAACCUGGGAAUUGCAUUGGAGACUGCAAGGCUAGAAUCUGGCAGAGGGGGGUAGAAUUCCACGUGUAGCAGUGAAAUGCGUAGAUAUGUGGAGGAACACCGAUGGCGAAGGCAGCCCCCUGGGUCAAGAUUGACGCUCAUGCACGAAAGCGUGGGGAGCAAACAGGAUUAGAAACCCGUGUAGUCCCAUGA
rnacentral:rRNA from 1 species